CUAAUCAGAAAGCCACGGCUAACUACGUGCCAGCAGCCGCGGUAAUACGUAGGUGGCAAGCGUUAUCCGGAAUUAUUGGGCGUAAAGCGCGCGUAGGCGGUUUUUUAAGUCUGAUGUGAAAGCCCACGGCUCAACCGUGGAGGGUCAUUGGAAACUGGAAAACUUGAGUGCAGAAGAGGAAAGUGGAAUUCCAUGUGUAGCGGUGAAAUGCGCAGAGAUAUGGAGGAACACCAGUGGCGAAGGCGACUUUCUGGUCUGUAACUGACGCUGAUGUGCGAAAGCGUGGGGAUCAAACAGGAUUAGAUACCCUGGUAGUCCACGCCGUAAACGAUGAGUGCUAAGUGUUAGGGGGUUUCCGCCCCUUAGUGCUGCAGCUAACGCAUUAAGCACUCCGCCUGGGGAGUACGACCGCAAGGUUGAAACUUAAAGGAAUUGACGG
rnacentral:rRNA from 1 species